rnacentral:rRNA from 1 species
AUGGGUCGCGUCCGCACCAAGACCGUGAAGAAGACCUCCCGCCAGGUCAUCGAGAAGUACUAUUCUCGGAUGACCCUCGACUUCCACACCAACAAGAAGGUGCUCGAGGAGGUCUCCAUCCUCCAGUCGAAGCGCCUCCGCAACAAGGUGGCCGGCUUCACCACCCAUCUGAUGCGCCGCAUCCAGCGCGGCCCCGUGCGCGGCAUCUCCCUCAAGCUGCAGGAGGAGGAGCGUGAGCGCCGCAUGGACUUCGUGCCGGAGAAGUCGGCGCUCGAGGUCGACGAGAUCCGCGUCGACAAGGAGACCAUGGACAUGCUGGCGUUCCUCGGCAUGGCCGACCUCCCCGGCGUCGAGCGCGCCCCCGAAGUCACCUCCUCCGCCGCCCCCUACCGCCAGCCGUUCAACGGGCCCCGUGGUGGCAACCGCGCCUAG